rnacentral:rRNA from 2 species
CGCCUUUUGUUAAAAUAGAAGGUCUAGCCUGCCCACUGAAAUUUAAAGGGCCGCGGUAUAUUGACCGUGCAAAGGUAGCAUAAUCAUUAGUCUUCUAAUUAAAGGCUGGAAUGAAUGGCUGGACGAGGUAUUAGCUGUCUCACUAGAAUUAUUUAGAAUUUAACCUUUCAGUCAAAAGGCUAAAAUAAAAUUGGAGGACGAGAAGACCCUAUAGAGCUUGAUAUUUAAAGCAUUUAACUUAUUUAGAAAGGGUUUAGUUUAAUGUGGGGAAUAUUUUGUUGGGGUGACAGGAAGAUAUAAUAAACUCUUCUUAAAGCAGGCCAUUAAUAUAUGACUUAAAUGAUCCAUUUUUAAUGAUUAAAAGACUAAGUUACCUUAGGGAUAACAGCGUAAUCUUUUUUGAGAGUUCUAAUCGACAAGAAGGGUUGCGACCUCGAUGUUGGACUAAGGGUUAUUCUUGGGUGUAGAAGUUCAAGGUUUAGGUCUGUUCGACCUUUGAAUCCUUACAU